rnacentral:rRNA from 1 species
ACCUGGUUGAUCCUGCCAGUAGUCAUAUACUUGUCUCAAAGAUUAAGCCAUGCAUGUGUAAGUAUGAACAAAUUCAGACUGUGAAACUGUGAAUGGCUCAUUAAAUCAGUUAUGAUUCAUGAUAACUCGACGGAUCGCAUGGCCAUCGUGUCGGCGACGCAUUAUUCAAAUUUUUGUCCUAUAAAGUUUCGAUGGUAGUAUAAUGGCCUACCAUGGUGGUGACGGGUUAUGGAGAAUUAGGGUUUGAUUUUGGAGAGGGAGCCUGAGAAACAGCUACCACAUCCAAGGAAGGCAGCAGGUGUGCAAAUUACCCAAUCCUGACACGGGGAAGUAGUGAUAAUAAAUAACAAUACCGGGCUCAAUGAGUCUGGUAAUUGGAAUGAGUACAAUCUAAAUCCCUUAACGAGGAUCCAUUGGAGGGUGAGUCUGGUGCCAGCAGUCGCGGUAAUUCCAGCACCAAUAGCGUAUAUUUAAGUUAUUGCAGUUAAAAAGCUCAAAGUUGGACUUUGGGAUUGGCCGGCCGGUCCGCCUAUGGUAUGCAUUGGUCGUCUCGUCCCUUCUGUCGGCGAUGCGUUCCUGGCCUUAAUUGGAUGGUUCGUUCCUCCGGCGCUGUUACUUUGAUGAAAUUAAAGUGCUUAAAGCAAGCCAACGCUCUGUAUGCAUUAGCAUGGGAUAACAUUAUAGGAUUUCGGUCCUAUUACGUUGGCCUUCGGGAUCAGAGUAAUGAUUAACAGGGAAAGUCGGGGGAUUUCGUAUUUCAUAGUCAGAGGUGAAAUUAUUGGAUUUAUGAAAUACGAACAAUUGCGAAAGCAUUGUUCAAGGAUGUUUUCAUUAAUCAAGAAUGGAAGUUGGGGGCUCGAAGGCAGUCAAAUACCAUCCUAGUCUCAACCAUAAAUGAUGCCGAUCGGGAAUCGGUGGAUAUUGCUUUUAGGACUCUGCCGGCACCUUAUGAGAAAUCAAAGUUUUUGGGUUUCGGGGGGAGUAUGGUCACAAGGCUGAAACAUAAAGAAAUUGACGGAUGGGCACCACCAGGAGUGGAGCCUGCGGCUUAAUUUGACUCAACACGGGGAAAAUUACCUGGUCCAGACAUAGUAAGGAUUGACAGACUAAGAGCUCUUUCUUGAUUCUAUGGGUGGUGGUGCAUGGCCGUUCUUAGUUGGUAGAGCGAUUUUUCUGGUUAAUUUCUUUAACGAAUGAGACCUCAGCCUGCUAACUAGCUAUGCGGAGGUAUCCCUUCGCUGCCAGCUUCUUAGAGGGACUACGGCCUUUUAGGUCAUAGAUGUUUGAGGCAAUAAUAGGUCUAUGAUGCCCUUAGAUGUUCUGGGUUGCACGCACACUACACUGAUGUAUUCAACGAGUUUAUAGCCUUGGCCGACAGGCCUGGUUAAUCUUUGAAAUUUCAUCGUGAUGGGGAUAGAUCAUUGCAAUUUUUGGUCUUCAACGAGGAAUUCCUAGUAAGCGUGAGUCAUCAGCUUGCAUUGACUACGUCCUUGCCCUUUGUACACACCGCCCGUCGCUCCUGCCGAUUGAAUGAUCCGGUGAAAUUUUUGAAUCGCGGCGACGUGGGCGGUUCACUGCCUGUGACAUCGUGAGAAGUCCAUUGAACCUUAUCAUUUAGAGGAAAGAAAAUUCGUAACAAGGUUUGCGUAGGUGAACCUGCAGAAA